UCAAUUAUAGGUUAAUUUUUAAACUACUAAUUUGUGGUGUUAGUGAUUUGUUUUCAAUGAUUGAA
rnacentral:tRNA from 1 species